rnacentral:rRNA from 1 species
UACGGAGGAUGCGAGCGUUAUCCGGAUUUAUUGGGUUUAAAGGGUGCGUAGGCGGACGCUUAAGUCAGCGGUAAAAUUGCGGGGCUCAACCUCGUCGAGCCGUUGAAACUGGGUGCCUUGAGUGGGCGAGAAGUACGCGGAAUGCGUGGUGUAGCGGUGAAAUACAUAGAUAUCACGCAGAACUCCGAUUGCGAAGGCAGCGUACCGGCGCCCAACUGACGCUGAAGCACGAAGGCGUGGGUAUCGAACAGG